ensembl:lncRNA
CCUGAGAGCACCCCCGUGAAAGAGAGCUGAGGUGGGGGGUGGGCUGUCUUCCACGGGCAGCUGACAGCUCUGAUGAACUGUCAGAAAUUGCCUGAAAUGAGUGGCCUUAGGAAACCCAGCUCUGACAGCAAGAAUCCUUCAGCCUCGCUGGCAUUGAUCCACCAGUUCUUUCAAAUGGGCAGAAUCGUUCCUUCCUGCCAAGUGUUUUUUUCUCCCCACAGGCAUGCGGUAUUCCUGAUACAGGCUAGAUACAGAAUGGGAACUUUUGCAAAGCUUCAGACAGUGGAUCUUACGUAGGGAGAGGAGGAGUGUCUUCUGAGGCAGAGAUGCAUCUCAUGAUAAACCUUGAUGUCUUCAUGUAUGUGCUUUUGAGUGGCAGCCAGCAAGGAGGGAUGUGGGUGUACUAGUGGAGCACCAAAGUGGUGCUCUCCUGCUUUCUGGCUUGUCCUUUCCCACCACGUGCAGGUAAGUGUCUCCUGGGCAGUGGCUUCUUCCUGCAUCCCUUGUGUGAAUGGAUCUGAGCUGGAAGGAUCGUGUGAUGCCAUUUCAUUGAAAUGUAUAAAACCAAGGAAUUAAGUACUUGUAAGUAGGUGUUGGUUAUGACUAGCUUUUCGGAUGCACUGUGACAGCAUGCAGACAAACUGCUGUGUUGUUGGCCACAGUCUUGUAAGAUUGUAGCUUUGUGCUGCUGUCUUGCUGGCGCUUUCCCAGCAUUGAGCUGCAAUCUGCAGGAUGAGCCACAGCAGUUGGAUAUUCAGUUGGAAGCACAGUCUGCACUUCAGGUGCAGGAAUGGGCACCAGGCAGUUUGGCACCAUUUCCUGGCUCCACUGCAAAUUGCUGCUGACCUUGCACAUCUUUCUGUGCCUCUUUGCUCCGUGUCAGAUGGGGGUGUGACUUCCCAGCCUCACAAAUGUGUUGUGUUUGUGAGAGGCACAAAUCCCAUUGUUCUGCAGUCUGUGUGGCUGGAGCCAAGCAGAUGCAUCCCACAGGUACAUGGGAGGAACAGGGCAGAUGAGGGGCAUAUUUAACCUCAAAGUAUCAUUUCAGGACACAUUCUUGGGAAGAAGUUUUUAGGUGUUUGUGUGAUGGGUGUUGCUGACAGUCGUAUUACUCUUUAGUGCUGACUUUGAAGGGCAGUUUUAGUAAAAAUGUCUGCCUUGAUUAUUCCCUUCACCUCUUGCAUAUUUCCUUAUAAUCCAAACCCUCUUCUUAAGCCCCCAUGACACUGUCCUCAUUCCAAGGGAACGUGGACUUGAUUGCCUCAAGCAACUCAACCUUUUCCUGCGUGCUUAUUGAAAUAGGUGUGCAUAAUACAAUACAAUAAUAAAAGUUGCUGAGCAGAAAUACAGUAAAAUAGCUGUGAGGCCGUUGCCGUGUGCUUUGAUAGCACAAAUGCAGAGUGAGAGCUGGAAAAGAAGGUAAUGGAUAAGAGAAAAGAAAUACCUUCAGCUGACAUGAAAGGGAAUAGACAGUCAGUAGAGAGCAAAGGGCAGUUGGUUUUAUUGCUGGCAAGAAAAGUUUCCUCCAGUUUCUAUCAGCGUGAAGGAUUGGCGGGGUCAGGCAGCACGCUGUUAAGUACAUAGAAGGUCUCUUCUUCCUCUCCAGAUGGAUUCCUGUCAUUGUAUUUCGGAAUGUCAGAAGGUUAUCAUUUAGGCAGGGCCUUGACCAGGGCAGGGCUGUGAGGCAGAGCAGCAACAUAAAUCUACAGAGCCCUUUAAAGGAUUUGUCUGGGGGCAGAAAACAAGCCAGCAGGGGAAACUUCAAAUGAAGAUCUGUCCUCACAGGAUAGCCAUUAGUUCUUGGCAAUUCAGAUCACUCUGCAUUUGUCUCUGAGAGAGACUUUUUGUAUAAAAUGCAUGUUUUGAUUUUAAGCAGCAACCAGUCCUACAGCGCCACGUGUCUGUCACCUGCACCGUAAAAAUCCCAGAGCAAUACAGUGUACAAGGAAUUCCCCAAGGGAAGUAAUUCCAGCAAAGACGUUCAGAA